rnacentral:piRNA from 1 species
AGAUGUAUUAUGGCAAAUAGCUCAGC